CCAUUGGGGUGCCCGUGAGCCAGCUCAUGUUCAACUCAAAAUAAAUUUGAGAUUGAUCGCUUGUUUAAUAAAUAAGCUAAAAACGAGCUGGGAUCAACUCGCUCGUGUUCUGCUCGAUGUAGACGAAGCACUUGGUGCUACCAAGUUUCUGCCAUUAGAUCUACCAUUUUGAUAAUUUUCACCCGUUAGAUCAUACUAUUGAAUCAACUACCCACUCAAUCCUAGAAGGCCCACAUCAUUCUAACCGCACAUCUCUUAAUCCAAUGGCCAAAAACUUGGUAGCACCAAUGACUUUGUGCUAUUAAUAGUAUAUUAGCCUAGUUCUAUAUAUAUAUAUAUAGUUAGAAUACUAUUAAUAGAUAAGAAUAGUGUUUACUAUCAAAUUUUUGAUUAUUGAAUGUCUAGACUCGAGUUUAGUAGAGGU
rnacentral:lncRNA from 1 species